CCCUUAGAUGUUCUGGGCCGCACGCGCGCUACACUGACGGGUGCAACGAGUGGGCCCUGCGCCGAGAGGCGUGGGUACUCUUUGGAACGCCCGUCGUGCUGGGGAUCGACUCUUGCAACUGCGAGUCGUGAACGAGGAAUUCCUAGUAAGCGCAAGUCAUCAUCUUGCGUUGAUUACGUCCCUGCCCUUUGUACACACCGCCCGUCGCUCCUACCGAUUGGAUGGUCCGGUGAAAUCUCUGGACGCGCGGCGCAGCCAGCAAUGGGUGCGCCUGCGCGGAGAUUGAUUGAACCUUAUCAUCUAGAGGAAGGAGAAGUCGUAACA
rnacentral:rRNA from 1 species